rnacentral:rRNA from 1 species
GAUGAACGCUAGCGGCAGGCCUAAUACAUGCAAGUCGAACGGUGUCUUCGGACAUAGUGGCGCACGGGUGCGUAACACGUAUGCAACCUACCUUACAUUGGGGGAUAGCCUUUCGAAAGGGAGAUUAAUACCGCAUAAGACAGUAGCUGGGCAUCCAGCAGCUGUUAAAGAUUUAUCGAUGUAAGCUGGGCAUGCGUCCAAUUAGCUAGUUGGUGAGGUAACGGCUCACCAAGGCAAUGAUUGGUAGGGGAACUGAGAGGUCAAUCCCCCACACUGGCACUGAGAUACGGGCCAGACUCCUACGGGAGGCAGCAGUAGGGAAUAUUGGGCAAUGGACACAAGUCUGACCCAGCCAUGCCGCGUGCAGGAUGAAGGCGUUAUGCGUUGUAAACUGCUUUUAUACAAGAAGAAACGACUCUUGCGAGAGGCAUUGACGGUACUGUAUGAAUAAGCACCGGCUAACUCCGUGCCAGCUGCCGCCGUAACAC